rnacentral:rRNA from 1 species
GACGAACGCUGGCGGCGUGCUUAACACAUGCAAGUCGAACGGAAAGGCCCCCACCUUGGUGGGGGUGCUCGAGUGGCGAACGGGUGAGUAACACGUGGGUGAUCUGCCCUGUACUUCGGGAUAAGCUUGGGAAACCGGGUCUAAUACCGGAUAGGACCAUGGGUUAGUGUCUCAUGGUGGAAAAAUUCUUUUUUUGGUGCAGGAUGAGCUCGCGGCCUAUCAGGUUGUUGGUGGGGUAAUGGCCGACCAAGGCGUCGACAGGUGGCCGGGCUGGGAGGGGGGCCAGCCUGGUUGGGACUGAGGUACCACCCACACACCGACGGGAGCAGGCGGGAAGGGUGGUUGAUGGAUGGACGCCUGCCUGAGGCAGCGCGGCCGCGUGGAGGAGGACGGCCUUCGGGAUAUAACCUCCUUUCGUUAGGAACGAAGCCACACCUUUUUGGGGGGUGGUGGCGGUUCCUUUGUGAAGAAGCACCGGCUAACUACGUG